rnacentral:lncRNA from 1 species
UGGAGUUGCUGGGUCCAAGGGCAGGAAGGGUUUUAAGACUGGGGUUCAGUGGUGCCAGAGCCCCCCAGGAAGGGUGGAGGGACCCACUUGCCCAUCCCAGUGCCCCGCCCCAUCUCCUAGUGCAAAGUCAGGUCCACACCCGGCACCCACAUCUACCCGGGGCUGGGUCCUUGGCAUGCAAUUAUGUGGAACAGACUUAGAAAACGCAAAGCAAACUGUCUUCUCCUCCACCUUCCCUCGAGGACCAGCUGCCUACUGUCCCUCCCCGGCCCCCCACGCCUUUCCCCUCCAGGUUCAGGCUCCCUGAAUCAUGACCCCCCAGCAUGGCCAGGCCCGGGAGGGCUGUCCUACAAUUUGAGGGUGGAGCAUUGGCACGGAAGCCAGCAUCUCUCUCUGUGCCUCACUUCCCCCUCACUCUACAUCGAGAAUCCAGCCAGGAUUAUGCCUGUUCCAGCAGAAACAAGAGGUGCGGUUUUAAGGGUCUCUAACAUCCUCGCCAGCUUGUGAACCACAGUUUGACUCUUCUGCUGCUGCACUUUUAGGCUGUUUUCCAUUUUUCUCUUCAUAAAGGAUGUGGCUGAUGCCUUUCGGCAGAGAACUCUUUCCAUAUUUCACCUUAUUUCCUAAGGAGAGAGUGUCAGAAGAGGGAUGAACUUGGUCACUUGGUCAAAGUUUUUUCUUUUUUAAUCUGAUUUCAUAUUUCUUAAGAAUGAUGCACCUUAUGAAACAACUUUAUAUCUGUUGAGAAACCUGGUUAAGUUCUUUUUUUAAUAUUGUUUUUAAAAAAGACUUGUUCUGAACAAUAUCCUGUGUCUUUCAGAAAACAGCGGCGGAUAUGAAAGGAGAUUUGUUCCCUCCAAGCUCUUAGGAGACGAUCUGGCUCAGGAAACAGACACAUCAGAUCCUUGCGUGUAUCUGAUGGUUGCCAUGGGAACAAGUCAUUUAACACAAUGCUGGGUUAAAGCAUUGAUCAAUAAGGGAGGGGGCAAGAUUGAAACAAAUUAGUUGGUGUCUGAGCAGGCCGGACAGAUAAUGACAGUAACGGGCAGUGCUCUGCCUGGCCUCCUCCCGUGGCCGGGGCCUGGGCCUGGGCCAGCAGAGGCAGGAGUGGGGUCCCUUCAUCUAGGGUUGGGAUGUGUGGGGCAGAGAACAGAGUCAUAUCAGGCUGAGGAAACUGUUCCCCAAACCAGAUACUGGGGCAAGAGAGGCCUGAGAGGAGUCUGGGGACCUGGGCUCUGGGGGUGAGUGGAACACAAGGCGACAUGGGAAGAAGCUGGGAUGGACCCCAGGGCCUGGGCACAGCCAGUCCCGGCUUCUCCACGCUCCUGCACCAUGUUUGCACAGACGGCUGGGACAUCUUGCCACAUCCUUCAUCUCUCAGGUGUCUGCCAAAGACGCAGCCGCUAACCCCGUGCCCUGUGUUUUGGGCAUGGAUGGGGCAUUCCCUCCUCCUUCUGGGAACCGGAAGCAUCCGGGCUGGCCUGGGAGCCAUCAAGGGCUCAGACUCCGCAUUUGGCAAGACCUGUUUCUAACUGCUACCCCCACCUCCUGGCCGUUGAGCUGGCAAGUCACUGAAGCCCGUGCCCCUCAGUCUUCUCAUCUGUAUGAUGAAGGAACCAUGCGCAGCGUCUGGCUUGGCGCCUGCAACAGAGUCAGCCCUCAGGAUGUAGUAACCUCGCCCUAUUUAUACCAUGUUCGUGUGCCUGGAACAGGCUCCGGGGGCGCCUCGGACCCCAACUGCCACGGCAGCCACACAGCAGGACGAGGAGAGAACAGCCCGUGGGGCCGGAUGCGGCGGGGCUGGGACGCCAGGCAGACGAGAUGCCGGCUGUGCAACCUCCCUGGUCCCUUCACAUCUCUGAGGUGCACUUGGCUCGCGGGUCAAGUGGGGAUACAGCGCCUUUCUCCGGGGGCGCUGAGCGCGGCGAUGAGCGUGGGUAACACAGCCAGGAGUGCUUCUCCCCCGGGGGAACAGGAUUUUCCGGGGUCCGGACACUCACGCCCCCCGGAUCGGCGCCCCGGAGCGCAGGCGCGCGGCGGGGGGCUGCCCCCCAGGCGAAGGGCCCGGCUCGGCAUCUGGAAAGACCCGCGGGUCGCGCGGCCCCGGAGCGGCCGGCAGGGGGCAGGCUGUCCCCGCGAGCCGGCCGUGUCCUCGCGUCACCCCGCCGCCUCCAGCCCCCGCGCCUCCUGAAGGGGCCACGCGGCCGCCUCUGCGCGGAGGGCGAGCGGCCCUUCCCCGGGGAGCCCUCUCCAUCAGCGCGGGCCCAAUAAUUUACGUUUAAUUUGGGAGCGGUUUAAUGUUUAAUUUUAAAAACUGAAUGAUUCAUUACCAU